rnacentral:rRNA from 1 species
AUUGAACGCUGGCGGCAGGCUUAACACAUGCAAGUCGAGCGAGAAAGCCCUUCGGGGUGAGUAGAGCGGCGGACGGGUGAGUAACGCGUAGGAAUCUACCUGGUAGUGGGGGACAACCUGGGGAAACUCAGGCUAAUACCGCAUACGCCCUACGGGGGAAAGCGGGGGACCUUCGGGCCUCGCGCUAUCAGAUGAGCCUGCGUCGGAUUAGCUUGUUGGUGAGGUAAAGGCUCACCAAGGCGACGAUCCGUAGCUGGUCUGAGAGGAUGAUCAGCCACACUGGAACUGAGACACGGUCCAGACUCCUACGGGAGGCAGCAGUGGGGAAUAUUGCGCAAUGGGGGCAACCCUGACGCAGCCAUGCCGCGUGUGUGAAGAAGGCCUUAGGGUUGUAAAGCACUUUCAAUUGGGAAGAAAAGCUCGUAGUUAAUAACUGCGAGCCCUGACAUUACCUUUAGAAGAAGCACCGGCAAACUCCGUG